GUUGUGAGAGGAUCUUGGAGAAGCUGUCACAAUGGAGUCGGAAGGAAGAGUGAGGUGGGAGACAGUUCUAGGGCACAGAGUCACAGGAGCCUAGUGGUGGAGAGAGUGAUGGGUAGUGGAGAGGGAAUGCUCAAGACUGACUCUUUUCUGAAGAUGGCAGAUACUCCUUGAGAAGCUUUCCUACGGAAAACAAUUAUUAUGAUGAUUAGCAGAGGAAGAAAAGAACAAAUGUUCUGUUCUUGAUUUGUCCCAGCCUUAUUGGAAAAUCAGGUCACCUGAAAUUUGACAGCACGACGCACAUGAAGUU